rnacentral:misc_RNA from 1 species
ACAUCUCAACUCCUCACGGUUUUCCUGUGAUGAGCUUGGAUUUUGGGGGUCUUGCUGGCCUGCAGGUCGGCUCCUCUCAAACAAAUCAGCUUGCCGGUGUUUGGCAGCAUCACGGGUGUGAUAACUAUCUACGCUUGUGGUUUUCUGCCAGGUAACUUCCAGCAAUGGGGGUUCACUGGAGCUCACAAAUGUCUCUCCUCAGUGAGGACGGCUCUUUGAAC